UAACGAAUCUUCCGCAAUGCGCGAAAGCGUGACGGAGCAAUGCCGCGUGCAGGAUGAAGCCCUUCGGGGUGUAAACUGCUGUCAGGGUUUAGGAAGAAAGUGACCAAACCCAAAGGAAGAGACGACUAACUCUGUGCCAGCAGUCGCGGUAAUACAGAGGUCUCGAGCGUUAGUCGGAAUCACUGGGCUUAAAGCGUACGUAGGCGGAUAUGCAGGCGUCGUGUGAAAUCCCCCGGCUCAACCGGGGAACUGCACGGCGAACCGCAUGUCUUGAGACAAGUAGGGGCGGUCGGAACGGUAGGUGGAGUGGUGAAAUGCGUUGAUAUCUACCGGAACGCCGAAGGUGAAGACAGGCCGCUGGGCUUGUUCUGACGCUGAGGUACGAAAGCGUGGGUAGCGAACGGGAUUAGAUACCCCCGUAGUCC
rnacentral:rRNA from 1 species